GGGGUAAUGCUCAGAGCCUCAGAAUAGAUUUUGAAGUUCUGAACAAAGGAAAUCAAAUCGCAAGGUUGAAGAAAUUUGAAGAUCUCUAUCCAUCCCUUUUCUGUUCUCGAUUUGCUUCUCCCGCUUUUUUUUUUUUUUUUUUUUUUUUUUU
rnacentral:ribozyme from 1 species